rnacentral:lncRNA from 1 species
GAGCUGUCGCGAGUAGGUGCGCUCUGCACUGCUGGCUGCCUCAAGUGCGGGUAGAUCCUGUACCGCAUCUUUUAUGUAUGGUCAUCAUUACAAAAGCACCAACUGAGAUUUACCUUCGAGCGACACCAAGCAUUGAGCGGCAUUUUGUUCCCUAAAGGCAGGCAGCCGCGAAGGUUACACAAGAAGAACUUUGACACCAGGUACAGUCACAGUAGUGACCAGACUAUGUUUGGUAUAUUUUAUUGAGCUCCAUUUAAACCGCUCUGUUGAACUACGGUUAGGAACACAUGCCUUCAUACUGGGGCUGCAACACAGACCGAAACAAGGCGUUAUGGGUAAGAUAUGCUCAUUCCUUAGGUAACGUGCGUGGCGCUGUUACAGUGGGCUCCAGACUUUUGAAGAAUAGAGCCAGCGGGCCAGCUGGCCCUCCCCCCCCUCCCGGAGUGCCUAUGCCCCGGAGUGGAAGUUGG